UACAGAGGUCUCGAGCGUUGUUCGGAUUCAUUGGGCGUAAAGGGCGCGUAGGCUGCGGGGCAAGUCGGGUGUGAAAUCUCAGAGCUCAACUCUGAAACUGCACUCGAUACUGCUUUGCUUGAGGACUGGAGAGGAGAUUGGAAUUCACGGUGUAGCAGUGAAAUGCGUAGAUAUCGUGAGGAAGACCAGUGGCGAAGGCGGAUCUCUGGACAGUUCCUGACGCUGAGGCGCGAAGGCCAGGGGAGCAAACAGG
rnacentral:rRNA from 1 species